CAAUUAGGUUUUAUUAUUCUUCUUUUAAAAGUUUCAGUAUAAAUAGGCAGAUUUUUACUCGAAAAAAACACACUUGUUCCAAUAGUAACGAUAUUAGCAAGAUGAAUUCUAAACUUUGCAUUGUCCUUGUUGUAUUUGCCCUUUUGGCAAUAUUGGGUUCCGCAAUGGCUGAUCCCCAAUUGGGAGUUUUGGGACG